rnacentral:sRNA from 1 species
UCACUGAAGUCUCCACUUGGCAAAGCAGACUGUCUUUACUUUUCAGGUAGCAUGAAAUAACAUCAAGAAGUUAGAGUGGCAUCUAGAGUCAGGUUCCCGGGAGCUUGAGAUACCCCACCACCCUUCGGAAGGUUCGAGCUCUUGUC